rnacentral:rRNA from 1 species
AUUGAACGCUGGCGGCAGGCCUAACACAUGCACGUCGAACGAGUGGCGGACGGGUGAGUAAUGACUGGGAAACUGCCUGAUGGAGGGGGAUAACUACUGGAAAAGGUCGCUAAUACCGCAUAACAUCAGAUGUGCCCAGAGGGGAUUAGGUAGUUGGUGGGGUAACGGCUAACCAAGGCGACGAUCCCUAGCUGGUCUGAGAGGAUGACCAGCCACACUGGGAAUGAGACACGGUCCAGACUCCUACGUGAGGCAGCAGUGGGGAAUAUUGCACAAUGGGGGCAAGCCUGAUGCAGCCAUGCCGCGUGUAUGAAGAAGGCCUUCGGGUUGUAAAGUACUUUCAGCGGGGAGGCGUUAACCGCAGAAGAAGCACCGGCUAACUCCGUGCCAGCAGCGGCGGUAAUUC